AACGAACGCUGGCGGCAGGCUUAACACAUGCAAGUCGAGCGCCACGCAAGGGGAGCGGCCGUCGGGUGAGUAACGCGAGGGCACGUACCUUUUGGUUCGGUACCACUCCGGGAACCUGGCGCUAAUACCGGAUUAGCCCUAACGGGAAAAAAUUUAUCGCCGAAAGAUCGCCCCGCGUCCGAUUAGCUAGUUGGGGAGGUAACGGCUCACCAAGGGGACCCUCAGUCGCGGGUCCGAGAGGAUGAUCAGCCACACUGGAACUAGACCACGGCCCAAACACCUACGGAGGGCACCAGGGGGAAUAAUGGAACAAGGGGCAAAAGCUGAUGCAGCCCAGCCGCGUGGGUGAAGAAAUACUUAGGUAUGGAAAGGCUUAUUAGCCGGGAAGAAAAUGACGGUACCCGGGAAAGUAGGCCCGGCUAAAUUCGUG
rnacentral:rRNA from 1 species